AAUGAGUUUAAAUACUGAAGUCUGGCUACACCCAGGGUGAACCCAAAGCACCUCAAUGUGGGCGUGUGUUUCUUUUAAAUGCUGCUGGAAAGAGCCUGACACGUGGAGAGCAGGAUCCAGGGCUGAUCUCAGAUGGUUUUCCUGGAAAAUGGAGCUGCCAAAACCCACAGGACCAAGGGAAGGAGCUAAAACUGGCUCCAGGCACAUGCACCCCAGCCUUGCACCCCUGACUGGAAAACCUUCCUGAUGGAUGUGGU
rnacentral:lncRNA from 12 species